rnacentral:pre_miRNA from 1 species
UCUAUACUCCCUCCGUCCGGAAAUACUCGUCAUCAAAAUGGAUAAAAAAAAGAUGUAUCAGUAGAUACAUCUUUUUUUUAUCCAUUUUGAUGACGAGUAUUUCUGGAGAUACAUCUUUUUUUUAUCCAUUUUGAUGACGAGUAUUUCCGGACGGAGGGAGUACAUA